AUAAUUAUUACCGCCAUUCCAGUCAUGGCGGGUUAGCCGACGUUUGCACCCAACCCGCCCUAGAGGCGGGUUUU
rfam:Pseudomonas sp. Bc-h sc_010, whole genome shotgun sequence.